rnacentral:rRNA from 1 species
CAAUAGCGUACAUUAAAGUUGUUGCAGUUAAAAAGCUCGUAGUUGGAUUUCUGGUGGGAGCGAUCGGUCUGGCGCUUAGCGCGAGUACUUGCAUCGUCUCCGGCCAUCCUUGGGGAGAGUCUGUCUGGCAUUAGGUUGUCGGGCAGAGGAUCCUCAUCGUUUACUGUGAAAAAAUUAGAGUGUUCAAAGCAGGCUUAUGCCGUUGAAUAUAUUAGCAUGGAAUAAUAAGAUAGGACUUUGGUACUAUUUUGUUGGUUUGCGCACCAAAGUAAUGAUUAAUAGGGACAGUUGGGGGUAUUCGUAUUCCGUUGUCAGAGGUGAAAUUCUUGGAUUUACGGAAGACGAACUACUGCGAAAGCAUUUACCAAGGAUGUUUUCAUUAA